UUGUUGGAGAGUUUGAUCCUGGCUCAGGACGAACGCUGGCGGCGUGCUUAACACAUGCAAGUCGAGCGGAAAGGCCCUUCGGGGUACUCGAGCGGCGAACGGGUGAGUAACACGUGAGCAACCUGCCCUAGGCUUUGGGAUAACCCCGGGAAACCGGGGCUAAUACCGGAUAGGACUGCUGGUCGCAUGACUGGUGGUGGAAAGUUUUUCGGCCUGGGAUGGGCUCGCGGCCUAUCAGCUUGUUGGUGGGGUGAUGGCCUACCAAGGCGACGACGGG
rnacentral:ncRNA from 1 species